rnacentral:lncRNA from 14 species
AAAGAAAAAUUAAGGACAAAAAGUUUCUAAAAUAUCAGAUUGUGCACUUCAAAAUAAUACCAUAAAGGCUCAUCAUUUUAAUCAAUUAUUGAUUACACCUUGGGGACUUUCCACCGAUUCCACUCAAUGCUGCUUUUAAAAUGCAGAGUUUGAAGUACUUACAAAUGAAGGCAAAAAACAAAUGGCUGGUAUUAAUCAUACAGAAAAAAAAUAGUCUAUAUAGCUCCUGUGGCCUUCCAG